rnacentral:rRNA from 1 species
AGAGUUUGAUCAUGGCUCAGGAUGAACGCUGGCGGCGUGCCUAACACAUGCAAGUCGAACGAAGCGGUUUUGAGGAAGUUUUCGGAUGGAAUCGGAAUUGACUGAGUGGCGGACGGGUGAGUAACGCGUGGGUAACCUGCCUCAUACAGGGGGAUAACAGUUAGAAAUGACUGCUAAUACUGCAUAAGCGCACGGGACCGCAUGGUUUUGUGUGAAAAGCCGAGACGGUAUGAGAUGGACCCGCGUCUGAUUAGCUGGUUGGUGGGGUAACGGCCCACCAAGGCGACGAUCAGUAGCCGACCUGAGAGGGUGACCGG